rnacentral:tRNA from 1 species
GGGUCCAUAGCUCAGUGGUAGAGCAUUUGACUGCAAAUCAAGAGGUCACCAGUUCGAACCUGGUUGGGCCCU